CUGGCCCUGAAUCAAGGCCAAAACGCUGUUGGUUUCAAGCAGGAGCCUAAAGAGAUGUCUUUCUAUAGUCUGUUGGCCAUUUCAGAACUUGAACAGUAAAAUGGUAAAUUCAUUAGAAAGAGACAGCU
ensembl:snoRNA